rnacentral:rRNA from 1 species
GAGAGUUUGAUCCUGGCUCAGGACGAACGCUGGCGGCGUGCCUAAUACAUGCAAGUCGAACGCUUCUUUUUCCACCGGAGCUUGCUCCACCGGAAAAAGAGGAGUGGCGAACGGGUGAGUAACACGUGGGUAACCUGCCCAUCAGAAGGGGAUAACACUUGGAAACAGGUGCUAAUACCGUAUAACAAUCGAAACCGCAUGGUUUUGAUUUGAAAGGCGCUUUCGGGUGUCGCUGAUGGAUGGACCCGCGGUGCAUUAGCUAGUUGGUGAGGUAACGGCUCACCAAGGCGACGAUGCAUAGCCGACCUGAGAGGGUGAUCGGCCACAUUGGGACUGAGACACGGCCCAAACUCCUACGGGAGGCAGCAGUAGGGAAUCUUCGGCAAUGGACGAAAGUCUGACCGAGCAACGCCGCGUGAGUGAAGAAGGUUUUCGGAUCGUAAAACUCUGUUGUUAGAGAAGAACAAGGAUGAGAGUAACUGUUCAUCCCUUGACGGUAUCUAACCAGAAAGCCACGGCUAACUACGUGCCAGCAGCCGCGGUAAUACGUAGGUGGCAAGCGUUGUCCGGAUUUAUUGGGCGUAAAGCGAGCGCAGGCGGUUUCUUAAGUCUGAUGUGAAAGCCCCCGGCUCAACCGGGGAGGGUCAUUGGAAACUGGGAGACUUGAGUGCAGAAGAGGAGAGUGGAAUUCCAUGUGUAGCGGUGAAAUGCGUAGAUAUAUGGAGGAACACCAGUGGCGAAGGCGGCUCUCUGGUCUGUAACUGACGCUGAGGCUCGAAAGCGUGGGGAGCAAACAGGAUUAGAUACCCUGGUAGUCCACGCCGUAAACGAUGAGUGCUAAGUGUUG